UAUGGAGAGUUUGAUCCUGGCUCAGAGUGAACGCUGGCGGCGUGCCUAAUACAUGCAAGUCGAACGAUGAAGCUUCUAGCUUGCUAGAGUGCUGAUUAGUGGCGCACGGGUGAGUAACGCAUAGGUCAUGUGCCUCUUAGUUUGGGAUAGCCAUUGGAAACGAUGAUUAAUACCAGAUACUCCCUAUGGGGGAAAGAUUUAUCGCUAAGAGAUCAGCCUAUGUCCUAUCAGCUUGUUGGUAAGGUAAUGGCUUACCAAGGCUAUGACGGGUAUCCGGCCUGAGAGGGUGAACGGACACACUGGAACUGAGACACGGUCCAGACUCCUACGGGAGGCAGCAGUAGGGAAUAUUGCUCAAUGGGGGAAACCCUGAAGCAGCAACGCCGCGUGGAGGAUGAAGGUUUUAGGAUUGUAAACUCCUUUUGUUAGAGAAGAUAAUGACGGUAUCUAACGAAUAAGCACCGGCUAACUCCGUGCCAGCAGCCGCGGUAAUACGGAGGGUGCAAGCGUUACUCGGAAUCACUGGGCGUAAAGAGCGCGUAGGCGGGAUAGUCAGUCAGGUGUGAAAUCCUAUGGCUUAACCAUAGAACUGCAUUUGAAACUACUAUUCUAGAGUGUGGGAGAGGUAGGUGGAAUUCUUGGUGUAGGGGUAAAAUCCGUAGAGAUCAAGAGGAAUACUCAUUGCGAAGGCGACCUGCUGGAACAUUACUGACGCUGAUUGCGCGAAAGCGUGGGGAGCAAACAGGAUUAGAUACCCUGGUAGUCCACGCCCUAAACGAUGGAUGCUAGUUGUUGGAGGGCUUAGUCUCUCCAGUAAUGCAGCUAACGCAUUAAGCAUCCCGCCUGGGGAGUACGGUCGCAAGAUUAAAACUCAAAGGAAUAGACGGGGACCCGCACAAGCGGUGGAGCAUGUGGUUUAAUUCGAAGAUACACGAAGAACCUUACCUAGGCUUGACAUUGAGAGAAUCCGCUAGAAAUAGUGGAGUGUCUAGCUUGCUAGACCUUGAAAACAGGUGCUGCACGGCUGUCGUCAGCUCGUGUCGUGAGAUGUUGGGUUAAGUCCCGCAACGAGCGCAACCCCCUUUCUUAGUUGCUAACAGGUCAUGCUGAGAACUCUAAGGAUACUGCCUCCGUAAGGAGGAGGAAGGUGGGGACGACGUCAAGUCAUCAUGGCCCUUACGCCUAGGGCUACACACGUGCUACAAUGGGGUGCACAAAGAGAAGCAAUACUGCGAAGUGGAGCCAAUCUUCAAAACACCUCUCAGUUCGGAUUGUAGGCUGCAACUCGCCUGCAUGAAGCUGGAAUCGCUAGUAAUCGCAAAUCAGCCAUGUUGCGGUGAAUACGUUCCCGGGUCUUGUACUCACCGCCCGUCACACCAUGGGAGUUGUGUUUGCCUUAAGUCAGGAUGCUAAAUUGGCUACUGCCCACGGCACACACAGCGACUGGGGUGAAGUCGUAACAAGGUAACCGUAGGUGAACCUGCGGUUGGAUCACCUCCUU
rnacentral:rRNA from 1 species